AAGUCGUAACAAGGUUUCCGUAGGUGAACCUGCGGAAGGAUCAUUAACACGUAUCCACGUAUCAACCCCUCUGUGCAAAACAAUCCUGUAAGGUUGGUCUUAGUCUGGCAGCUCGCAUAGGUCUCAACGAUGGAAGAUCAAGAGAGUGCUUGUCGCUCUUCGGGGUCUUGAGGUCUGAGCUGUUUCGGGUGCUUGACGACUGGCCGCUAUUUUCCCAUCGUUAGGCUUUCUCUAACCCAAUUUUUAACCCCUUUGUACUUCUCUGUACUGAACCAAUUCCUUCGAGUUCUCUUCUCUCUCGAGAAGACUGAACACGAAAGAUAUUACGAAACUAAAGAACAACUCUUAGCAACGGAUCUCUUGGCUCUC
rnacentral:misc_RNA from 1 species